AGUGAACGCUGGCGGCGUGCUUAACACAUGCAAGUCGAACGAGAACGGAAUAUAGCUUGCUAUAUUUGUCAGCUAAGUGGCGCACGGGUGAGUAAUAUAUAGAUAACCUGCCCUUAAGAAAGGAAUAACAGUUGGAAACGACUGCUAAUGCCCUAUAUGCCUUUAAUACAUAAGUAUGCAAGGGAAACGCUUUAGUGCUUAAGGAUGGGUCUGUAUGGUAUCAGCUUGUUGGUGAGGUAAUGGCUCACCAAGGCUAUGACGCCUAACUGGUUUGAGAGGAUGAUCAGUCACACUGGAACUGAGACACGGUCCAGACUCCUACGGGAGGCAGCAGUGGGGAAUAUUGCACAAUGGACGAAAGUCUGAUGCAGCAACGCCGCGUGGAGGAUGACGCAUUUCGGUGCGUAAACUCCUUUUAUAUCCACGAUACUUGACGGUACCCAUAAAGGAAGCACCGGCUAACUCCGUGCCAGCCGCCGCCGUAA
rnacentral:rRNA from 1 species